AGAAAAAUACGAAUUGGUCCCAGGCCAUGGAAGAGCUCGAAAAGGAUUUUGAGAAGCAAGUAAGAGAAGUAGAGUACAGACUGGGCCCUAGCAAACCCACAGCAGGCCUUGAGGUAUUUAUGACAAGAACAGCAGAACUUGAUGGAAAAUUUGACAUGUAAGGUGCAGGAGAAAUAUAAGUAGGACCCGAUUGUAGCCUGGAGGACAGCUGAGAAGAAGGAAGCCUCCUUAAGGUGAUUGGCUGAAGAACAGCAGCCAUAGGUGAUCUAAGGCUGCCCCAAAGCAGCUGGAGGAGCAUCAGGGCUAGGAGCUGAGCAGGACCCAACCAGCUCUGCACACCUAGGAGCAGGAAGCAGAGCAGCUGGUCCAUGAAAGUGAAAUCCAGCAGGAGACUUGCCUUCACCAGGCCCAACUAAGUGAGCCAGAACGAACAGACCACUGAGUGCUCUAAGGCACAGAUGGAGAGAGCUCACUAUGAUGCCAAGGAGCAGAACUGGCUGCAGGAACACCUGCAGCACAUGGAGAAUCUACAGAAGGAAAAUGCGGAGUUAGAGAGGGUCAGUGGGGAGCUGCGGCAGGUUUGGCUGAAGAUCAAAGAGGUUGAGCAGGCCUGCCGCCACCUUGCAGCCCGAAUUGAAAUGCUGGAGGCACAGGUGAUUCUGCUUCUUUUAUUUAACUGCAGUCCUUGGUCUUGUCAUGUGGAUCUGUCUCCUCUCUACUUUAACUCCAUGGACCAGAAUG